AGUAUGAAGAGUUUGAUCCUGGAUCAGGUUGAACGCUAGCGUCAGGCUUAACACAUGCAUGUCGAGGGGCAGCACGGUGUAGCAAUACACUGGUGGCGACCGGCGCACGGGUGAGUAACACGUGUGCAACCAACCCCGUACCGGGAGAUAACCCGCGGAAACGUGGACUAACAUCCCAUGAUACUCGAGAGCCGCAUGGCUCUCGAUUUAAAAUUCCGGUGGUACGGGACGGGCACGCGCGACAUUAGGUAGUUGGCGGGGUAACGGCCCACCAAGCCGACGAUGUCUAGGGGUUCUGAGAGGAAGGUCCCCCACACUGGAACUGAG
rnacentral:rRNA from 1 species